AGAGUUUGAUCCUGGCUCAGAUUGAACGCUGGCGGCAGGCCUAACACAUGCAAGUCGAGCGGAUGAGUGGAGCUUGCUCCAUGAUUCAGCGGCGGACGGGUGAGUAAUGCCUAGGAAUCUGCCUGGUAGUGGGGGACAACGUUUCGAAAGGAACGCUAAUACCGCAUACGUCCUACGGGAGAAAGCAGGGGACCUUCGGGCCUUGCGCUAUCAGAUGAGCCUAGGUCGGAUUAGCUAGUAGGUGAGGUAAUGGCUCACCUAGGCGACGAUCCGUAACUGGUCUGAGAGGAUGAUCAGUCACACUGGAACUGAGACACGGUCCAGACUCCUACG
rnacentral:rRNA from 1 species